GGCCCUCUUCGGGGUGGCCGGGAGCCAACUUUCUGGGGAGUUGGUGGCCUGGAAUCUCACUGGGAUUUCUGGAGUUCCCUGUAGCCUCCAGUGCCAGAGUCGCGCCUUUCAGCAGCCCGGGGAGGCCGCGGGCGAGGGCCGAGUCUCCUCCCCGCAACGGUGUAGUCGGGCGGGUCCUGCCAGCCAAGCACCCUUGGCCCUGGGGAGCCCAAGGCCGUGCCAGGCCGGCCUGGUUCUCUUGCCUCAGCUCCAUGGCGCCUAGUUUCUUUGGACUUGCUCCUUCUGAGCCUCUUUUUCCUCCGCAGUAAAAGCGAGGGGCAGCAGGAGGGAGACCGGGCUACCUACCUUACCAGACGCUCCGCAAAUGCCAGUUGACUUCUCCAGCUGCGGCAUUGAGAAGCUGCAGUGUCUGGCAGGCCGGACCCAGCGUCCACGACAGACUCGGGAGACUUGCAGUGCCUCUACCUUAGCCCCUGCCCAUCCUUCUUUGCAAACCUGAUGUGUUUAUAGAGCAAAAGAAGGGCUUGACGUAUUUUUUUUUUCCACUAAGAAAAUCUGUUGUAGAAAACCACCGUGUGCAUGGUGGUGCCAUGGGACCUUCUAACAAAGCGAGGCCAAUAAGGAUGGGACGUGUUUGGAGUAUUUGUAGCCUGCCUCAUACUGGCCCAGUGACCUGGCCAAAUUCUCUCUACUUUGCCUCUGUCUCCUAAUGGUAUAAUGGGAAGGAGGAGAGUUUGAAUUAGAUGACCCUAAUGUGAGCUAAAAUAGCUGAUUUUUAGGCCAAUAUCUGUUGUAGAUGUUAGGGAAGUAUGUGGCUCCCUGUCCUGAAGCAGCCCCACUUCAAAGUGCAUUAGGACUGGAGAAGUGCUUCUGGCAGCAGAUGAGGCCUGGGGUACCUCACUAUAUUUGAGCUACUUAGCUCCCUGAGGCCAGGAUUUACCCUUUCACCUUUCACCCCAUUUGGCCAGAGCAGUUAAUGCUUUGCUUUGCCUCAGGCCACCCAGGGAGGGCCUGGAGUAGUUCUGGGCACCCUGGCAGGAUGUGGUUGGGGAAAGCAGUGAUUUCCCCUGGCUUCUGUCCAACCUGUCAAAGUGGGGGACGGCUCCAAUGCAGGUCAGGACUAUUCCUGGGGAUUUGAUUCCCAAUAUCUCCUGCAUGCCAGGCAGGGUGCCAAACUCUUCCGGGGCAAAGCUGAACAGGCCACCAGGCCCUUCCCUCUGGCUGUUCCCAUUGUUCGUCUGUGAGUUUCAUUUUCAAAUUCUCAGGCACAAUGACUUUAAAAAGAGCAAUGCCUGGCUUCAGCCUGGGUCAGGGCUACAGAAGCAAAAGUAACAGGACUCAGCAGGCUCACGCCUUCUGAACAAAAAUAGGAGAAGCAGAGGAGCUUCCUAAAAACCAUGUUGGGGGCACCCUCGGCUUGAGAGAAUUCACAAGGAAAAGGGAAGCCCCUUUCCUCAGCCCCAUCAUCCCUCCUUCACUCAUUGGUCUAAGGGUUAGGGGAUGAGGAUAGGAGACAGGCUUCAACAGAGCCCUAUUUCAAGAAAGAAUGCAACAGAUUGCUGGGUCCAGGCUCUUGGGCAUUCCUGCCUCCUGAGAUCGACCCUGGCCCCACUUUUAGACCCUGCUGGACACUGCCUAGAUGACUUCUACCUGGAAACUACCCAGUUCAAGCCAAGUCUUCUGGCCUCUGGUGACUUUCCCUUUUGGUAUCAUUGGGAGGAUAUGCACAGGCAUCAUGGACAACAGACAGAAAUGUGUUACUCUUAUGCUAGGUGGUCACUUCACCUCUCUGAAUAUUGGUUUUUUCACCUGUAAGAUGGGGAUAUUAUUAUUCACACAUAGGUACUAUGGGACUCCAAAGAGAUUUGCAUAAAGAAUUCAGUACAGUACCAGGCACAUAUUAACAGUAGCUACAGUUGCAUGAUGUGGACACAAUGUGACACAGGAGCCAACUGAGGCUCAGAGGGGUUAAGUUACUGCCCAGGGUCCUACAGUAUCAGAAGCUCAAUAAUUUCCUCUUUGGUCACAUAAGUAUCUCUGUUCUUUUGUUGUUUCAAAUGUAUGGAUCCUGGUUUUCCUUCAGACUGUGUACUCUUUAAGGAAAAGACAGUAGAUCAGCUGUUCUUUUGUCCCCCUGCUACUAACCCAGUCCACUUAAAAAAAAAAAAUUCUUAUUGAACUUGAAUCAGUAUCAAUUCCAGAAGCAAAAUUAAUCCUUUCCCUCCUCCUCUGGCUCAAAGAUGACUUUUGGAAACCCAUGUCACUCCUUUUAUUACAAACUCCUCUGCCCUCCUCCAGGCGCCUGGGCCACUCCGGGAUUACAAAUGGAGCCUUCUGCCUCUAGGUCACUGAUUCCGCUACCAUCUGUCAGCACCGAUUGAUUGAGUAGACUGGCCCUGCUCUGCAGAUCAGUGACUUGUGCGAAGUGAGCCGGGGUGUUGGUGCCUUAGGCAGCAGGCUGAUGUCCUUCCUCUCACUCACUGGCUCUUGAGCAUGCAAACAGCCCUCACCUUGAUCCUUCACCAGCCCUGGAUCUCCUUCCCCUUGGGAGGGGCCAGCUGCUCACAACCCCAGCACACCAAGAGGGAAGCCUGGAAGCCCUGCUUCUCAAGCCUGAGCCCGGGGCUCCGCUUUCAGUCUUCCAGAAGGUGACUCACAGAAGUCCCUGGUUAACAGAGAGAACACUCCACACAGCAUCCUGCUGGGCCUGUCCCAAGCCAGACACUAUCCCUGGUAAAGUGCAGGGGUGGCCUGGUGUGGAGCUUUGUGGGCACCCCCUCAUUCCACCCCAGCACCUGCUGUUUGUGAAGCUCCCAGCCCUGAAUGGGGGGUGAGGGGUCAGAGGAGACUCUAAUGCUGGGGGUAGGGGUGUCCAAACAGGGCCAGGGAAUGCCAAGAUUAGAUAGUGGGCAACAGCCAGCAGCUAUGCCCAGGAGGGCUGUACCCAGUGCAGAACCCUGAAAGGUCUUGUAUCUGUGACACACUUGAGCAUGAAUGUUUCAUAGGUAUCAUGGUGACCUCUGUUCAUCAACUUGCCCCUCCAUCUACUCUCCAGAGGCAAAGAUGUGGCUCCCACUGAUCGCCCUGCGCGCUUGGUGCACGUCCAACUCUCCUACUAGACUGUGAGGAUUUGUAAGGCAGAGAUACCUCUUUGUCUGGUGUGAGGCCUCCUAUGCAGGAUGAGGAGACUGAGGCACGGAGCAGUGAGGAGGAAUCAGAGCUGGAAUCCGAACACAGGCUAGUGGGCUGCAGAGCCCCUGCAUCUUUGCUUUAUCAUGAGAUAACAAUAGGGAGGUUCCUUUCCAUUGGGAUUAUUUCUGCUUGAAAGCACAAGACUUUUAGCCACAUCAUUGUCUGGGCUCCACAGGAAGGCAGUGCCACAUGCUGAGGCAUGCUGGGAAAAGACUUUGUUCCAUCCUGUUUUGUUGACAUGCUCUUCAUUUUUAAGCCUGAAACCCAAGCUUCCUGCUAAGAUUUCAAAUCGUGGAGAAAAAACCCAACCAUGUUAAUGGCCACGACUUCCUAAGCCUCCAGUGUCCCCUGUGCUUGGGGCUCCAGAUAUGUCAUUUAACCUCAACCUUCACAAUGACAGGAGCAGCCCCCAGAACACAGCUGGAGAAACUGGAGGUCAGAGUUGCUAAGAUGCCUAAAGGCUGGCCCAGGAUGCAGGUGUGGUGUGGCCCUAGAUGCUGCCUUCUCUGACAGCGGGAGCUGAGAGACAGGGAUGCCCAUGCUCCCUCCUCUCUCACUCCCUCCAGGGACUCAGGAUAGCCACCCUGCUGUGCUUAAAAAGGCACCUGUCUUCUGGAAGGAGCCCCACCACUGAGGAUCCUCAUCGAUGCCUGUCUCCCCACCAGCUCCUGGGGAUAACCGCCAAAGCAGGUGUGCCCUGCCUCAAGACCAGCACAGCAGGAGUGGGGGCUCCUCCAACCCUCAGCCAGUCCUUGACUACAGCCUCUUUUCCCAGCCCACCCAUCCCUGCAGCCGACUCAUUUCCACCCCAAACCAGCUUUGACCUUACUCUCCCUGGAUCAGUGGUUUUCAGUGGGUGCCGAGUGACUCCAGAAUUCACGGAAUUCACGUUUGUUCCUGUCUUGGAAGGCAAAGCCCUCAUCUGGCUCAGCUCACCUUUCCCACCUUCGCUCCUGCCUCUCAGACUGUCUCUGCCCAACUAAACAGACUGUUCCUGUCCCGAGCCUGCCUGUCCCCAGGGAGAAAUGUCCUUUCCUUUUCUUUACAGAUAAAAGCUACCCUCUUUCAAAUCUUA